rnacentral:rRNA from 1 species
AGUGAACGCUGGCGGCAGGCCUAAUACAUGCAAGUCGAACGGCAGCACAGUGGAGCUUGCUCCAUGGGUGGCGAGUGGCGGACGGGUGAGGAAUACAUGGGAAUCUGCCCAGUCGUGGGGAUAACGUAUGGAAACGUACGCUAAUACCGCAUGCGCCCUUCGGGGGAAAGUCGGGGACCGCAAGGCCUGACGCGAUUGGAUGAGCCCAUGUUCGAUUAGCUAGUUGGCGGGUAACGGCCCACCAAGGCGACGAUCGAUAGCUGGUCUGAGAGGAUGAUCAGCCACACUGGAACUGAGACACGGUCCAGACUCCUACGGGAGGCAGCAGUAGGGAAUAUUGGGACCAAUGGGGCAACCCGUGAUCCAGCCAUGCCGCGUGAGUGAAGAA